rnacentral:rRNA from 1 species
UACAGAGGUCUCAACCGUUGUUCGGAUUUACUGGGCGUAAAGGGCGCGUAGGCGGUCAGCACAAGUCAGUUGAGAAAUCUCCGGGCUUAACUCGGAAAGGUCAACUGAUACUGUGCGACUAGAGUGCAGAAGGGGCAACUGGAAUUCUCGGUGUAGCGGUGAAAUGCGCAGAUAUCGGGAGGAACACCGGUGGCGAAGGCGGUUCUCUGGGCCUGACCUGACGCUGAGGAGCGAAAGCGUGGGGAGCGAACAGG